CACUCCUACGGGAGGCAGCAGUGGGGAAUUUUGGACAAUGGGCGAAAGCCUGAUCCAGCAAUGCCGCGUGAGUGAAGAAGGCCUUCGGGUUGUAAAGCUCUUUUGUCAGGGAAGAAACGGUGAAAGCUAAUAUCUUUUGCUAAUGACGGUACCUGAAGAAUAAGCACCGGCUAACUACGUGCCAGCAGCCGCGGUAAUACGUAGGGUGCAAGCGUUAAUCGGAAUUACUGGGCGUAAAGCGUGCGCAGGCGGUUUUGUAAGUCUGAUGUGAAAUCCCCGGGCUCAACCUGGGAAUUGCAUUGGAGGCUGCAAGGCUAGAAUCUGGCAGAGGGGGGUAGAAUUCCACGUGGAGCAGUGAAAUGCGUAGAUAUGUGGAGGAACACCGAUGGCGAAGGCAGCCCCCUGGGUCAAGAUUGACGCUCAUGCACGAAAGCGUGGGGAGCAAACAGGAUUAGAAACCCGUGUAGUCCC
rnacentral:rRNA from 1 species